UAUGUCCUUAGGAAGGACUAGGAGUAAUCAAGAAAUAAAUCAAGGAAUUAGGUUUAUAAUUCAAAUUCAUGUUUUUAAAUGUAGUUACAGAAAUCAUUUUUAUGUUGAGAAAUAUAAGUGGAUAUUUAGAACAGUUUAUUCAAUUUGUGUUUUAAACUCUAGAUAGGCUAAUAGAUUUGCAAAUUAUAAAUAAAAUAAUGUAUAUAUAUAUGACUAGUCUGUCCAUUUAAAAGUGCUAUAUUACAUUUUUAUGUUUGUUUGAUUUAUUAAAUUGAUACUGUGUGUGUGUGUGUCCUCCCAAAUACUGAACGUGAUAGACCAUCCUUCAUUCUAUUGUAGUUUAGCAGUGUCAAUUUUCAAAACUACAGUUCCCACAAUGCAGUACUGGGCGUGACGUUGCACGCCUAUGAAAACACGAGAGACGUGUAACUUUGACAGUUCCGGGAAAAUUCACAAGGAUACUUCACAACUGAAAUCGGGAGUAAUAGUUGACUGAGAUGUCAUGUAAUGAAGUAAAGCAAAUGUAUUAACAUCUGUGCUCCAUUAAAAAAAGUUAAGUCUUUCUAAGAAAUAGCUGACAAAUAAGUGUCAGUAUGCUGAGCCGAUCUAUAGUCGUGCAAAGUCUCAGGAGUAUUAGAGAUAGGUUUUUUGAUACAAGACGACAAAGAAAUGAGCAAAGUGAUGGUCAGGGGCCAGAUAAUGACGUCACGGGCCCCUCUCUGGAUAACCUGCCGGUUGACAUGCAGUUUCUCAUAAUGACCUUCCUGUCUCCGCAAGACCUCUGCAGACUGGGAGGCACCAGUACAUACUGGCGGUCAAUGGUUCGAGACCCUGUCCUGUGGAAGUACUUCCUGUUGCGUGAUAUGCCGCUCUGGCAGUCAGUUGACCAUUUAUCAGUGCCCCAGGUCAAGCUCACUGGCUCAGCUGUGCUGGAUGACUCUGAGAUGCAGCUUGAUUAUAUGGCAGAGUAUCUACGUGUUUGUCCGGCCUGUCGAAACCAAUGGCGACACCAACCCAGAGUGUUUGAAUCUGUGACGUCCUUCUUCCAGUCCCUUGUACCGGUUUCAGAGCCACAGUUCGCCAUGUUCGGCCCCGGACUUGAGCAGUUGGAGAUUUCCCUCAUGAAUACGAUCAUGUGUUCCUCUCAUGUACUGCCUGUCGCUGGACCACCUCAGCGUCAGAUUGAUGGCAUUGGCUCUGGAAUCAGUUUUAAGUACAAAGAUCAGCACAGAUUUAAUAUUGCAACUUUAUAUUCAACAAACAGGUCAGCGCGCGAGAGAGCACGUCUGGAGCACCUCAGUCUGCGCAGUAAACUCUUUGUCUAUGAGGAGGAUAGUGAGUCCAACAUACCCUUAAGCAUCAACCCCAUGUUUAAUCAAGUUUGUCAAGCCGUGAAUGGAUUCAUCUUUGUGGUCAAUGCUGAGACAGAAAGAGUAUAUCUCUCUUUUCUAAACUGGAGGAACAGACCGAGGGUGGGAGGAGGAAAGUGCCCAGAUCCGGGUUAUUUUAGACCCUGCGGUGGGUGCUGUGUCUUGCCCUAUCCUGGUGCUCUCCUGUGUGUCUAGAGAGACAGCAGACAGACACAGAAUACCUUGUGUGACCAUUGCCCAUCAGCUACAGCUCAGCUCACUGACCAACCCUUGGAUGCUUCAGGACACAGCUGCAGAAACACUGACAGGACUGCUGGAUGGUCUUGAUUGGCUGCUGAGGCACUCUGGAGUCAAGCUAUAACCAAUAGGAAAUCUGAAAGCUGCUGGAUAUGUUAUAAAAGAGGCCUUUUAAUCAUCUUACUAUCCAAAAUAUACAACAUAAAAGUCACACCAUUGUAAUAGUUGUGCUUUUGGAGGUGACCAUACCAUGAAAUUAAUUUACAUAAUUCAGUGAACUGUUUUUACAUUGCUUUUUUUUUUUGAGUGAAAUAGCAUUUUUUUUUUUUUUUAAGGGAAAUUAUAGCUCUGAAGGUAAUAUUACACAAGCAAGAGUGAUUUUGUACUGAAUAUCAACAUGUCUGAAAUUUGACAGUGGGCAGGUGAUAUUCACAAUCAGAAUGACAUGUUAUGAUUGUGAUACAAUGCAGUUCAGUAAAGAAGAUGUUAAUAUUAAUCAGCUUACAUUUUAGAUACAAUUUUGCCUGUUACUUCCCUCUUCAAACAACAAAAUGUCACUCAGCCAACUAAAUUCAAGGACUGAAACUGUUGUAUAAAUAUGUUGCACAGAAUAACAUAGGUGAGUAAUACAUGUAAAAUAUAUAUCCAUGAAAUAAUGAUAGUUCAAUUACUUAAAUCCUGUGCUGUGCUGAAAAUCCUUUACCUAAUUUGGUGUUCCCAUAUUUCAAUAUUAUUAUAACACUACAAGUAUAACAAGUAUAUAUAUAUAUAUUUUUUUUUUUUUACAUUUUGGGAAAUUGUUGUACUCUAUGUGAGCAAAGUAAGUAAGUUUCAGUAAAAAAAAAUGCAUUUUUAGAAUAAAUUUUAGAAUAAAUUGUCUGCUGAUUUCCAUGGAUUAAUUUAAAAUUACAUGCAUCAUAAUUGCUGCCUAGUUUAAUUAUAAGUAAAUAAAUUUAGAUAGAUAGAUAGAUAGAUAGUUAGACUACUCACAAAAAAUAUUUGACUUUCGGAUGAAAUUUAUGGAAAAUGUAAAAAGUUCAUGCUACAGUGAUAUUAUAUCAUGAAAGUAGGGCAUUUAAGUAGAAUAAUGCAAUGUUAAUUUCUUCAUCUCAAACUUUUUGGGGAAAGAAAAUAAUUAUUAUUUAUAUUUUGUUAUUCAGUGUGAAUCAUUCUUCCAGCACUUCUAACUCCAGAAGGUUGUUUUUCCUCUUUUGUCCACAAAGAGGCAGCAUCCUCAGCUUUAUUAAGAUGAAUUGUUGACAACAAUAAGAACAUUGACCUUGUAUAACCUGCUGCCCAGUUUUAUUCAGGGUGGAGGUCAUCCAGUGGCCAGUGUUCCAGAAAUAUUUAGGUAUUGCUUUGUCUCUGUCUUCUCUUUGUCGGUGACUCCCUGCGGCCCUGUUCUCUUCCUCUGUUUUGAUUAAAGGGAAAACCAGCCUAUGCUUUCAGCAUUUUACAGAGGUAAUAUGCUAAACUGAGUAAUUAAGACUAAUCCUGAAGUUCAGCCUUACUAAAGGCCACACUGGCACUGAGCAUGCUUAAACUGUCAAACUGAAUCUCUUGAAAUAGUGAAAAAUGGGACUCAAUAGCAGGAUAAAGGUUGCCUUGAAGUGCCUUAAAGAAAUGAGACAGAAGUCAUUGUAUUUUUUGUCUUUCCAACAUAUUUUAAAGGUUGAGCACUUGAUAGUUUAGACAGGUGGGUUUUAUAUGGCAAGUGACUCAUUUUUUUAGCACUAAGUGCAUGUACUAUUAUUAUUAUUUUAUUUAUUUGUUGGUCUAAAAUCCAUUCCGGGUGGAAGAAGAUGUAUUAAAUUAUGUUUAGUCCUUUUGUAUUUCCCUAAAGUAAGAACAGAAUUGUUUCUCUUGCAAUUUAUUUUCUUACUCAUAAAAUGAUUAUGUAUAGCAAUAAUCAUUGUCUUGAAAAAAAGAGGAUGUUUUAAAAUGAAAUCGUAAUUGCUGCAAUUUGGAUGCAUUAAGUCUAACCUGAAUGGUAGAGAUGGCUGUCUGCUCUGUAAUGAAAUUCGACAUAAUGGAGAAAGUGUUGACCUUUCCGUAUUAAAAUCUUCUCUUUCAUCUCCCCAGAA